rnacentral:rRNA from 1 species
AUUGAACGCUGGCGGCGUGCUUAACACAUGCAAGUCGUGCGGUAACAGGCGUAGCAAUACGUGCUGACGAGCGGCGAACGGGUGCGUAAUACAUGGGAAUCUGCCCUUUAGUGGGGAAUAACCCGGCGAAAGCCGGGCUAAUGCCGCAUAAGAUCUUCGGAUGAAAGCGGGGGAUCGUAAGACCUCGCGCUGAUGGAUGAGCCCAUGUCGGAUUAGCAGUUGGUGAGGUAACGGCUCACCAAGGCGACGAUCCGUAGCUGGUCUGAGAGGACGGCCAGCCACACUGGGACUGCGACACGGGCCAGACUCCUACGGGAGGCAGCAGUAAGGAAUAUUGCGCAAUGGGCGAAAGCCUGACGCAGCGACGCCGCGUGGGGGA